rnacentral:rRNA from 1 species
GUUUGAUCCUGGCUCAGGAUGAACGCUGGCGGCGUGCUUAACACAUGCAAGUCGAACGGGGAAUUUUUAGUAAGAGAGCUUGCUCGAUUACAGGGAAUCCUAGUGGCGGACGGGUGAGUAACGCGUGGGCAACCUGCCCUGUACAGGGGGAUAGCAGUUAGAAAUGACUGAUAAAACCGCAUAAGCGCACGGAAUCGCAUGAUUCAGUGUGAAAAACUCCGGGUGGUACAGGAUGGGCCCGCGUCCGAUUAGCCAGUUGGCGGGGUAACGGCCCACCAAAGCGACGAUCGGUAGCCGGCCUGAGAGGGCGACCGGCCACAUUGGGACUGAGACACGGCCCAAACUCCUACGGGAGGCAGCAGUGGGGAAUAUUGCACAAUGGGGAAAACCCUGAUGCAGCCGACGCCGCGUGAAGGAAGAAGUAUUUCGGUAUGUAAACUUCUAUCAGCAGGGAAGAUGAUGACGGUACCUGACUAAGAAGCCCCGGCUAACUACGUGCCAGCAGCAGC